UGCAGUCUGGCAGUGAAAGAGUCGUGCGGUUUAGGGAGGGGCAGACAGGUGUCUCAGGCCUCCCAACCCCCCCCAGCAGAAACAACACAAACGUUUGUUACAUAGGGAACAGCUGCUCCAAUCACUUCCCCAGCCAGUGGCUGCACUUAAUAGGCCAGAUUCUUUGGAAACGACUCCCAGUCCCAGGCAGCCAAUAAAGAAGCAAAAGCCACUGAAAAUGGCAACACAAGCAGCAAUAUCGUAUCAUGCGCUAUUUAAUAAUGACCCGCCCAGUCGGGUGGGGGUAAAACCAGGCAGAGCCCCAUCAGGGGGAGCACAGGGGAUACAGUCGUACCGGCCCUAAAGGGCCCCCCUUGACAGCAACAAAGUGAAACUCUGAAGCGAUAAAGUGCCGAAGACCCAAAAAGACCCGAAGCCACAAAAAGACUCAAACUCAUGAAAACAUCAGAAGCCGCGAAAAUAACUGAAGAAGCAAAAAGUCCCAAAGCAGCGAAAAAACUUGAAGCCGCGAAAAUACCCAAAGUCGUGAAAACAUCCGAAGUCGCGAGAAAACCUGAAGCCACGAAAGAAGCAGAAAGAAAGCUAAGAAGCCGUCAUCACUGAGGACAAGGAAGAAGAGCCUAAGGGAAGUUCCACUGAACUCCAAUGUAUUUUUUAAAAAUGUUAAUAAACCCCUGGCCACCAA